rnacentral:lncRNA from 1 species
CUGCGCCAGCCGCUCCAAUGUCGAUACUCUUCACAUUCCCUUCUUCCGUGGACAAUGCUACGCUGAUAUCAUUUUCGGAAUUCGCUACUUCUUUUCUCGGUUCAUCUCCACUAUCAGAAGUUGCUGUGGUGUUUCCUGGCUGAAGCGUGUCAACUGAAACAUCACUGUUAGCUGCUGCAUUUACAGAAGUCGGUGGAGGAUCAACAGCCUCCUCACCAAUAUCCACAUGAGAUGAAGCUCCUCCUACAGCCACAUCAGACCGAGCUUCUGCCUCAUCACUGACACCACUAGUGUCAGAGGUUGCUGUGGUGUUUCCUGGCUGAAGCGUGUCAACUGAAACAUCACUGUUAGCUGCUGCAUUUACAGAAGUCGGUGGAGGAUCAACAGCCUCCUCACCAAUAUCCACAUGAGAUGAAGCUCCUCCUACAGCCACAUCAGACCGAGCUUCUGCCUCAUCACUGACACCACUAGUGUCAGAGGUUGCUGUGGUGUUUCCUGGCUGAAGCGUGUCAACUGAAACAUCACUGUUAGCUGCUGCAUUUACAGAAGUCGGUGGAGGAUCAACAACCUCCUCACCAAUAUCCACAUGAGAUGAAGCUCCUCCUACAGCCACAUCAGACGG